rnacentral:rRNA from 1 species
CGGGUGAGUAAUGCGUGACCAACCUGCCCCAUGCUCCAGAAUAGCUCUUGGAAACGGGUGGUAAUGCUGGAUGCUCCAACUUGACGCAUGUCUUGUUGGGAAAGUGUUUAGUGGCAUGGGAUGGGGUCGCGUCCUAUCAGCUUGUAGGCGGGGUAAUGGCCCACCUAGGCUUCGACGGGUAGCCGGCCUGAGAGGGCGGACGGCCACAUUGGGACUGAGAUACGGCCCCAGACUCCUACGGGAGGCAGCAGCC